GGCGACCGGCAAACGGGUGCGUAACGCGUAUGUAACCGACCUUUUACAGGGGGAUAAUCCGAAGAAAUUUGGUCUAAUAUCCCAUAACAUAAGACAAGGCAUCUUGUUUUAUUGAAAACUUCGGUGGUAAGAGAUGGACAUGCGUGACAUUAGUUAGUUGGUAAGGUAACGGCUUACCAAGACGAUGAUGUCUAGGGGAACUGAGAGGUUAAUCCCCCACACUGGUACUGAGACACGGACCAGACUCCUACGGGAGGCAGCAGUGAGGAAUAUUGGUCAAUGGAGGAAACUCUGAACCAGCCAUGCCGCGUGCAGGAAGACGGCUCUAUGAGUUGUAAACUGCUUUUGUACGAGGGUAAACCUUUCUACGUGUAGAGAGCUGAAAGUAUCGUACGAAUAAGGGUCGGCUAACUCCGUGCCAGCAGCCGCGGUAAUACGGAGGACCCGAGCGUUAUCCGGAUUUAUUGGGUUUAAAGGGUGCGUAGGUUGUUAUAUAAGUUAGAGGUGAAAUCCACAGGCUCAACCUGUGAUGUGCCUCUAAUACUGUGUAACUAGAGAGUGGAUGCAGCUGGCGGAAUGUGUGGUGUAGCGGUGAAAUGCUUAGAUAUCACACAGAACACCGAUUGCGAAGGCAGCUAGCUAAUCCAUAUCUGACACUGAGGCACGAAAGCGUGGGGGAUCAAACAGGAUUAGAUACCCUGGUAGUCCACGCAGUAAACGAUGAUAGCUCGUUGUGGGAUCGAUAGAUUCCGUGACCAAGGGAAACCGAUAAGCUAUCCACCUGGGGAGUACGUUCGCAAGAAUGAAACUCAAAGGAAUUGACGGGGGCCCGCACAAGCGGAGGAACAUGUGGUUUAAUUCGAUGAUACGCGAGGAACCUUACCCGGGCUUGAAAGUUAGUGACAGAAGUGGAAACACUUCCUUCUUCGGGACACGAAACUAGGUGCUGCAUGGUUGUCGUCAGCUCGUGCCGUGAGGUGUCGGGUUAAGUCCCAUAACGAGCGCAACCCCUACUGAUAGUUGCUAACAGGUUAAGCUGAGGACUCUAUCGGGACUGCCGGUGUAAGCCGAGAGGAAGGUGGGGAUGACGUCAAAUCAGCACGGCCCUUACGUCCGGGGCGACACACGUGUUACAAUGGUCGGUACAGAGGGCAGCUACCCCGCGAGGGGAUGCGAAUCUCGAAAGCCGAUCUCAGUUCGGAUUGGAGGCUGCAACUCGCCUCCAUGAAGUUGGAUUCGCUAGUAAUCGCGCAUCAGCCAUGGCGCGGUGAAUACGUUCCCGGGCC
rnacentral:rRNA from 1 species